rnacentral:lncRNA from 1 species
CCCAUUGAUCCCAAUGUCCCCAUUGACCCCAUUGACCCCAAUGUCCCCAUUGACCCCAAUGUCCCCAUUGACCCCAAUGCCCCCAUUGACCCCAAUGUCACCACUGACCCCAAUGACCCCAUUGAUCCCAAUGUCCCCAUUGACCCCAAUGUCCCCAUUGACCCCAAUGUCCCCAUUGAUCCCAAUGUCCCCAUCAUCCCCCAUUGACCCCAAUGACCCCAUUGAUCCCAAUGUCCCCAUGACCCCCCACUGACCCCAAUGUCCCCAUUGACCCCAGUGUACCCAUUGACCCCAAUGUCCCCAUGACCCUCCAACUGACCCCAAUGACCCCAUUGAUCCCAAUGUCCCCAUCAACCCCAUUGACCCCAAUGUCCCAUUGACCCCAAUGUCCCCAUUGAUCCCAAUGACCGCUCACUGACCCCAAUGUCCCCGCUGACCCCAAUGUCCCCAUCACCCCCCACUGACCCCAAUGUCCCCAUUGACCCCAAAGUACCCAUCACCCCCCAUUGACCCCAAUGUCCCCAUUGACCCCAAAGUCCCCCUUAUCCCCCAUUGACCCCAAUGUCCCCAUUGACCUCAAUGACCCCAUUGACCCCAAUGACUCCAUUGACCCCAAUAACCCCUCAUUGACCCCAAUGACCCCAUCACCCCCCACUGACCCCAAUGUCCCCAUUGACCCCAAUGACCCCAUUUUUGGGGUCCCUGGAGGUCAUUUUGGGGGGUCCACAGUGACAUUUUGGGGUCAAUAAGUGGGAUGUGGGGAAAAUAAAGGGGAUUUGGGAUCGCACUUUGGGGGCCAUUUGGGGGCAAAUUCAGUAGGAUUUAGGGCAAAAAAGGGGGAAUUUGGGGUAAAAAAGGGGGAUUUGGGGCAAAAAGGGGGGAUUUGGGGCAGAUUAUGAAAAGGGGGGAUUUGGGACCGCACUUUGGGGCCAUUUUGGGGCAAAUUAAGUGGGAUUUAGGGGAAAAAAGGGGGAUUUGGGGCAAAAAGAGGGGUUUUGGGGGUAAAAAAGGAAAAGGGGGGAUUUGGGACUGCACUUUGGGGCCAUUUGGGGCAAAUUAAGUGGGAUUUAGGGGAAAAAAUGGGGAUUUGGGGUAAAAAAAGGGGGAUUUGGGGGGAAAAAAGGGGGAUUUGGGGUAAAAAAGGGGGAUUUAGGGCAAAAAAAAUGGGAUUUGGGGUAAAAAAGAGGGAUUUGGGGUAAAAAAAAGGGGGAUUUGGGACCGCCUUUGGGGCCAUGGAGAAAUUUAGGGCCAAUUAUGGGGAAUUUGGGACAAAUAGGGCCGACGUGGGGUCCGAAGGGUUGCAAAUCGGGGGGGGUUCGGUGGUUAUGGGGUCGGUUUGGGGUCGAUGGGGUUACAAUUUGGGGUCAAUAGGGUCAGUUUGGGGUAGAUGGAGCUACGAUUUGGGGUCAACGAUGGGGGGCAAUGGGGUCGGUUUGGGGUCGAUGGGGUUAGGAUUUGGGGUCAACGGGGUUGGUUUGGGGUCAAUG